rnacentral:rRNA from 1 species
GAUGGACGCUGACAGAAUGCUUAACACAUGCAAGUCUACUUGAACUUCGGUUUGGGUGGCGGACGGGUGAGUAACGCGUAAAGAACUUGCCUCACAGUUAGGGACAACAUUUGGAAACGAAUGCUAAUACCUGAUAUUAUGAUUUUAGGGCAUCCUAAAAUUAUGAAAGCUAUAUGCGCUGUGAGAGAGCUUUGCGUCCCAUUAGCUAGUUGGAGAGGUAACGGCUCACCAAGGCGAUGAUGGGUAGCCGGCCUGAGAGGGUGAACGGCCACAAGGGGACUGAGACACGGCCCUUACUCCUACGGGAGGCAGCAGUGGGGAAUAUUGGACAAUGGACCAAAAGUCUGAUCCAGCAAUUCUGUGUGCACGAUGACGUUUUUCGGAAUGUAAAGUGCUUUCAGUUGGGAAGAAAAAAAUGACGGUACCAACAGAAGAAGUGACGGCUAAAUACGUG